GGAUCCUGACCAUCACCAUAAAGAGACUGUCACCCAACCUUCUCAUCUAGAGACUUGUUCUCAGGACCUACAGACAGGAGGUAAAAGAGAGUACUGCAGAGAUGAAGUGAUUUGUCCAAGGAUCCAUACCUGGAUUAGCAUCUCUGGACUUUUAGAGUGAUAGCAUUUCCCAGCCUCAAACUGAAAG